rnacentral:rRNA from 1 species
AUUGAACGCUGGCGGCAGGCUUAACACAUGCAAGUCGAGCGGUAGCACAAGGGAGCUUGCUCCCUGGGUGACGAGCGGCGGACGGGUGAGUAAUGUCUGGGAAACUGCCUGAUGGAGGGGGAUAACUACUGGAAACGGUAGCUAAUACCGCAUAACGUCGCAAGACCAAAGAGGGGGACCUUCGGGCCUCUUGCCAUCAGAUGUGCCCAGAUGGGAUUAGCUAGUAGGUGGGGUAAUGGCUCACCUAGGCGACGAUCCCUAGCCGGUCUGAGGGGAUGACCAGCCACACUGGAACUGAGACACGGUCCAGACUCCUACGGGAGGCAGCAGUGGGGAAUAUUGCACAAUGGGCGCAAGCCUGAUGCAGCCAUGCCGCGGGUGUGAAGAAGGCCUUCGGGUUGUAAAGCACUUUCAGCGAGGAGGAAGGUGGUGAACUUAAUACGUUCAUCAAUUGACGUUACUCGCAGAAGAAGCACCGGCUAACUCCGUGCCAGCCGCCGCAGUAAAAC